GACGAACGCUGGCGGCGUGCUUAACACAUGCAAGUCGAACGGAAAGGCCCUGCUUUUGUGGGGUGCUCGAGUGGCGAACGGGUGAGUAACACGUGAGUAACCUGCCCUUGACUUUGGGAUAACUUCAGGAAACUGGGGCUAAUACCGGAUAGGAGCUCCUGCUGCAUGGUGGGGGUUGGAAAGUUUCGGCGGUUGGGGAUGGACUCGCGGCUUAUCAGCUUGUUGGUGGGGUAGUGGCUUACCAAGGCUUUGACGGGUAGCCGGCCUGAGAGGGUGACCGGCCACAUGGGGACUGAGGUACGGCCCAGACUCCUACGGGGGGCAGGGGGGGGGAAUUUUGCACAAGGGGCGGAAGCCUGUUGCAGCACCGCCGGGUGGGGGAUGACGGCCUUCGGGUUGAAAACCGCUUUCGCCUGUGACGAAGCGUGAGUGGCGGUAAUGGGUAAAGAGGCACCGGCUAACUACGU
rnacentral:rRNA from 1 species